rnacentral:rRNA from 1 species
GAUGAACGCUGGCGGCGUGCCUAAUACAUGCAAGUCGAGCGAACAGACGAGGAGCUUGCUCCUUCGACGUUAGCGGCGGACGGGUGAGUAACACGUAGGUAACCUACCUAUAAGACUGGGAUAACUUCGGGAAACCGGAGCUAAUACCGGAUAAUAUUUCGAACCGCAUGGUUCGAUAGUGAAAGAUGGCUUUGCUAUCACUUAUAGAUGGACCUGCGCCGUAUUAGCUAGUUGCUAAGGUAACGGCUUACCAAGGCAACGAUACGUAGCCGACCUGAGAGGGUGAUCGGCCACACUGGAACUGAGACACGGUCCAGACUCCUACGGGAGGCAGCAGUAGGGAAUCUUCCGCAAUGGGCGAAAGCCUGACGGAGCAACGCCGCGUGAGUGAUGAAGGUCUUCGGAUCGUAAAACUCUGUUAUUAGGGAAGAACAAACGUGUAAGUAACUGUGCACGUCUUGACGGUACCUAAUCAGAAAGCCACGGCUAACUACGUG